UCCCGGUUGUCCCGGGCAGUAUUGCCUGAAAAAUACAACAGGCAAGAGGGGUUGCGCUCGUUGCGGGACUUAACCCAACAUCUCACGACACGAGCUGACGACGGCCAUGCAGCACCUGUCACCAGGCUCCAAAAGGCACUCCUCUGUUUCCAGAAGAUUCCUGGGAUGUCAAACCUCGGUAAGGUUCUUCGCGUAUCAUCGAAUUAAACCACAUCAUCCACUGCUUGUGCGGGUCCCCGUCAAUUCCUUUGAGUUUUAAGCUUGCGCUCGUACUCCCCAGGCGGGAUGCUUAUCGCGUUAGCUUCUCAGCACAGAGGGUCGAUACUCCAUACUAAUAGCAUCCAUCGUUUACGGCGUGGACUAC
rnacentral:misc_RNA from 1 species